rnacentral:lncRNA from 1 species
AUGAAUGACUUCUCAGCAUGGAAAUCAGAUUUUUCUGGAAUCAAUGAACGAUUUGUCUUGCUCCUUUAUGGUAACCAAUUUCAAGAUUUCAAGACUCCAUGUCAAGAUAAAGCCCAUCAGAUGAAGACCACCAGAAACACACUUGUACUUAAAGUUUGGUGUAUUUACCUGCUGCUACCACAAGAGGAGCAUAAGGCCUCUCCUGGACCCUGGGAUGUCUGGGCACAAGACACUUGGGAGGAGCUUACCUUAGUGUUGGAGCCCGGUGUUGAUGAAUUCUGAAGAGGGAACAGGAUAAGUGGGGAUCAGCUCUGAAUGUGUGAUGUCAUGAAGCAGGGACAGUUUAGCAACUGAGGUUUCUCUGUAAUCUUUGUUCUGGAGGCAACAGGAACAAAGCAGAACAAUGGAUAUCACUGGUUAAAAAAACAAAAAACAAAACAACCCAGUAACCACUCCAAAGGACGGGGGCUUGAUAGCCAGAGGAGAAACAUUGUUUACAUGGCCUUGGCCUUCCCUUGAAAACAUUUUUGAAGUUCUGUUAGGAAUAUUCUACCCUGAUUACCUGUUUCCUUUUAAACUACAAUUUAAAAACCUCUUAUCUGAAGCUCUUGGUUGGAAACUGAGGCUGCUUCCCUGGAUUAAAGUAACCCACAGAACUCAGAUUUUUUUUUUUAACUUUAUUUAUUUUUGUUGAAUGAGAGAGAGCAGGAGAGGGGCAGAGGGAGAGGGAGAGAGUUCUAAGCAGGCUCCACACUAUAAGCACAGAGCCUAAGGCAGGGCUCAAAUUCAUGAACUGUGAGAUCAUCACUUGAGCCAAAAGUAAGUCAGACACUUAACUGACUGAGCCAUCCAGGCACCCCAGGGCUCAGAUCUCCUGAGUGGGAAUGAGACAUAACAUUCUCACUGAUAUUUCAAAUAGCAACAUAUCAUAUUUAUAAUAUGACAGCAUCUUCAAAUAGAAAUGUAAUGCAAGUCACACAUGCAAUUUAAAAUUUUCUAAUAGCCACAUUAAAAAAGAAACACGUGAAAUUAAUGUUAGUAAUAGGUUUUAACUCAAUAUAUCCACAAUUUAUCUGAAAUAUUUCAACACAGAAUAUUAGAUAUUUUACUUUUUUGUACCUCAUCUCUUGAGUCCAGGAUAGCAGCUCUCAAUUUGGACUUUAGAUUUUCAUUGGAAAGCUUGAUCUGUAUUUAGAUGCCAUAAAACUUAUAGUUGGAAAGCAUAUCCACAUACCCAAGUUGUUACAAACAUAUCUAACAGCUUUGUGAUAAUUGGAUGAAGUAUGAAUUCGCAAAUUUAAAUUUAAACUACUCGAGAUUAAGUAAAAUUAAAAAUUCAUUUCUUAGUCACCCCAGUUACCAGUUCAGGUGUGCAAAAGCUGCAUGUGGCUGGUGGCAACCACUUUGGACAGCUCAGGUCUAGGAUUUUAGAGAAUAAGAUUUCUCAUUACCAUGCUCUUGACAGUAACUAACAAAAGCAGAUUUUACAGGUUCAGAAUUAUCCUUAGCUCUUUUUUCUCCCUAUUUCUAGAGGCCACUUGUAGGCAACCAACUUGAGCAAUGGAAACCUGACUAAGGUAGAAGGGCCCACAGUGACCACCCGGCUGAAUGCCAACAGGCCCAUUAGGUGACCCACCUCAAAAUAGCCAUAAGCCCUAGCUGACCAAUGGGUUACUUACACGGACACCGUUACCAAAAAAGGAGAAUUCCGUACGUUCCCAUACUUCCUUACCUUCCUCUUUUUAUUUUAAAAAUGUUUAAUGUUUAUUUAUUUUGAGAGAGAGAGAGAGCGAGCGCGCGCAUGUGCGCGAGCACAAACAGGGAAGGGGCAGAAGAGAAUGAGAGACAGGAUCCUAAGCAGGCUCCACACCAUCAGCGCAGAGCCUGAUGCGGGGCUCAAGCUCACUGUGAGAUCGCGACCUAAGCCUAGAGUCCGCUGCUUAACCGACUGUGCCACCCUGGCACCCCAUCUCACCUGCCUCUUUUAACUACAGCUCCCCCUCACACACACUGCCUCUUGGCAGACAGUCUCUGCUUUGUUGUCCUGCCUGCUGCUCCCUUGCAGUGUGUUCAAUAAACUUCUAACUCCUUUGUUCUGCCUUCUGUAA